AAAUUUAUAUUGUCUAUUUACAUAAAUUUAUCUCAACAAUCACAUAUAAUAAUAGUUUUACAAUUCUAUACAGUAAAGAUUUAGCCAUAUUUUAUUUUUAUUUUAUAAUAAAACUUUUUUUUUUUCCUAAAGUAUAUGGUAUGAUUAUGACUCAAUACUCAUUAAUUUAUGGUCGUUCUUGUACUAGCUGAAGCCUCAACAGUGACCUGACUUGCUUGCCCAUAUCUAUCUGCUAAUUGCAGCACUGAUUUCACCAUACCUAUGGUUCAAUACUAAUCCAAUCCCAUCCCAUUUUUGUUUACUUUUUUCCCUUUGUUUUUUUCAUUCUUCAUACGUACGCAUAUAAAAAGACUUUUAAUUUCAGUCUUAAGACUAACUAAAAACUUAAAUAUUUUUCCUUCAUUUGUGUUAUUUAUUAAGUGUUUUUAAAAGUAAAUAAUAUAUACAUUUUCUAUUUGCAUGAUUUUAUCUCAACAAUCAUCAAUAAUAAUAACAUUACAAUUCUGUAUAUAAUGGAGGAGGCCUAGUGAUAUUUUUAAUUUUAUAUUUAAUAUUAAUAAAACUGAGCUUGUUUUCUGAUGUAUAUGGUGUGAUUUUCACUCAAUAAUCCUUAAUUUAUGGUCAUUCUUGUAGUAACUGAAGUUUCAACAGUCAACAAAUUUACUUGCCUAUAUAUGUCUGACAAUUGCAGCAGUGAUUAUACCAUAAAAUAUUGAUACUUAUAUCACUGUAGUGUACAUGCUGAUCUUACUCUCUUUCUUUUUUUAAAAACUUUGACGAUUUAUAUCUGGACCACUUCCUCUACAAAGAUAAUACAUUUGGUUGUAAGAAAAAUUCAUUUUCGAUUCUAAACACAAAAACACUACACUCACUUAAGUUACCUAAAUACAAGAUUACAAAACCUCCACCUCCAUUACAAGUCUUAGAAUGGAAGAACAAUGCCAACUAAUACCAGAAAUUGUGUCAAACAAUCAAAAGUGGAGAGUCAAGGUAAUUAUAGUAGAAAAACAAUCACCAAAACCUUCAAAGCAAGGUAAUGGAAGGUAUCAACAUUUGAUCUUAAUCGAUACUCAGGUAACUCUUGUUCAUUACACAUCUUAAAUACUGAGGUUUAAUUAAAUGUUACAUUUAGUUAUACUCUAUUGUCUUAUUUAUCCACUAUUUGUUACACAUUUUUUUUCUCCAGUUUAAGAAGAAAAUAGACCAAUUUAAAUGUCCCAUUUGCCAUGAUUUUGUUGACUUUCAUCUCACAUUUGCCUUGAAAAUGUGAGCUCCAAUGUUUUGAGUAACCCAUAUUAAUUGUGGAAAAACAAGCAGCAAACAGAGGAUUAAAAACUAUUAAGGCUUUUCACUGUGCUCAUACAUUUUUUCAUCUUUAUUAUCGAAGAACAUAUACAUGCUAAUAUUUAUAAAACUCCUUCCUAUUUUUAUAUGAUUCAAAUAUCACUGCUUUUGGGGAUCAGCUUGUUCUCUCAUGUCUUCAUUUACUAAUACUCAAUUCUUAUUCACUUUAGGGGCUAGAGCAUAGGUGCAGCUAUUAGAUGUCACGAUCUCGCUCAAUGCAAAUGCAAUUGGUGAAACAGCUGAAAAAUUGCUAUUUACAAGUUCACAAUCUUUGAUGGAGCAAACCAAUUCUGUAAAAAUUUCAACCUAACUUGAACAUUUUGCCAUUCCAUACAUAUUAUACUCAAGUGAUAUCAAUACAUUACAUGAUUAAACACAGGGUUCACAGACAAACUUUCAAGCUGUCAUUCAGAAAAUGCGAAACACUGAACGAGCUUUUCUACUUGAAAGCAUCGCAAGCUGAACCUAAUUAUCAAGUUAUAGAUUUGACAUUAUCUCUAUAACAAACUCAAACAUACAAGUCCAAGAGAAGAAUGCCAAGCAAAUGUCGAUACUCAAGUUAUGGUUACAGCAGUUGGAAAAAUCAUCGAUACAGACUCUCAAGAAGAUUAGUCACCUCCGACAAAUAGAGCUCUUUUCAAGUCUUCAGAUCAUACCUCAAGUUCAAAGGUGGCUUGUGAUGAAAACAUAAGUUCAAAAAUCUCUGACACAAAUUCAUUUACUCCAACAGAAAACAUGGAGGGAAUGAUGAUUGAAAUUUUUUUUUUUUUGCGAAAUUCUUUUGACAAGAACCUACUUUUUUUGUGAAGUUUGUCUUGAUGUUCUCUUUUGUUGACUACAUGUAAUAAUCAGAAACUGUCGAGCACAUUAUUGUUGACAAAUGAUGUAUGUAGAACAUGAUAUCUACAUCAUUAAUGCUAGAAACCAGCACUUGUUUAGAUUGUCUUGUGUAUGGCUAUAUAAGAAGAUAGAUGAUGUAUCUUUUACAGUUGACG
rnacentral:lncRNA from 1 species